ACAUAAUUGAGUAAGAAAGCAUAAACACGGCAAAUAAGAUAAGAGUAUGAAAGGAUCUCUUCACUAUAUUGAAAACUGGAUGAAUCUCUGAGAAUAGAGAUGAAUAGCUUAUGUCUCUCUGAAAAUAGGGAUGAAAAGAACUUGAUAGGUCUAAACAAUGACCUCUAAAACUAUAUAUAUGCCCUAUAAAACGACCAAGGACUAAUAAUGCAAAUAGGGAAAUCUUUUGGGGCAAUUUCCACUUCUGUAAACUUGAAAGCGUCAUGGACUUUUCUGGGCUGAAACUGGUGUCGAUCGACGCCAGAAGUGUGUCGAUUGACACCCUCACUGAAUCUGGAACUGAAAUCGUCCUUAGCUUCCUUCUCCUUAGCUUUUGCUCCAAAAUGUCUCCUCAACUCCAUUGUUGUCCCACUGCAUGGAAGACCUGAAAAUACUCUAAAAAGACUCGAGAACUAACAAAAAUACUCAAAAUCCUAAAUCUAAAACAUAGAAAAAAUCAGUAAAAACAGAGUU
rnacentral:sRNA from 1 species